AUCCUUUUGGUGAUAACAAGUUUGUUGUGUGACUAUACCUUCAUCCUUUUGGUGAUGGUGAUCAUUGAAGUUAUUUGACUUAUUAUCAUCCUUUUGGUGAUAACAAGUUUGUUGUGUGACUAUACCUUCAUCCUUUUGGUGAUGGUGAUCAUUGAAGUUAUUUGACUUAUUAUCAUCCUUUUGGUGAUAACAAGUUUUGUUGUUGGAUCUUAC
rnacentral:lncRNA from 1 species